GCCUCCUUAGCUUAAUGGUAGAGCAAUAGUUUUGUAAACUAUAGACGACGGUUCGAUUUCCGUCAGGAGGCU
rnacentral:tRNA from 1 species